AGCAUGUGGCGCCACUGUGCCGGGCACUGAGCAAGUGUGAUUACCUCUGCCAGCUGGACCUAACAGCCAACCUGCUGGGUGAUGACGGGCUCAGGUGCCUUCUAGACCACCUGUCACAGAUGCCCAUCUCUGGCUUGCUUGAUCUGAGUCACAACAGCAUCUCUCAGGAAGGUGUCCUGCACCUGCUGGAGACUCUGCCCUCCUGCCUGCGUGUUGAGGAGGCCUCUGUGAAGUAAGGACUGGCUGAUGGUGGCCACAUUUUGCCAUCUGUGUGACUUGGGGCAACUCAUCACUCUCUGAGUCUCAGGCUUUCCUGGGCAGGGGGUCACAGGCUCUGUCCUCCCAUG
rnacentral:lncRNA from 1 species